UGGUAGUAGGUGCCUUUGAACAGGGUAUGGUAGUAGGUGCCUUUGAACAGGGUAUGGUAGUAGGUGCCUUUGAACAGGGUAGUAGGUGCCUUUGAACAGGGUAUGGUAGUAGGUGCCUUUGAACGGGGGUAUGGUAGUAGGUGCCUUUGAACAGGGUAUGGUAGUACGUGCCUUUGAACAGGGUAUGGUAGUAGUAGGUGCCUUUGAACAGGGUAUGGUAGUAGGUGCCUUUGAACAGGGUAUGGUAGUAGGUGCCUUUGAACAGGGUAUGGUAGUACGUGCCUUUGAACAGGGUAUGGUAGUAGUAGGUGCCUUUGAACAGGGUAUGGUAGUAGGUGCCUUUGAACAGGGUAUGGUAGUAGGUGCCUUUGAACAGGGUGUGGUAGUAGGUGCCUUUGAACAGGGUAUGGUAGUAGGUGUCUUUGAAUGGGGUAUGGUAGUAGGUGCCUUUGAACAGGGUAUGGUAGUAGGUGCCUUUGAACAGGGUGUGGUAGUAGGUGCCUUUGAACAGGGUAUGGUAGUAGGUGCCUUUGAACAGGGUAUGGUAGUAGGUGCCUUUGAAC
ensembl:lncRNA